CCUUUGUGCACAGAUGAUGCGAUAAUACGGCAACAUGUCCCUCAUCCAAGCGCUGCCAACUCUUCACUGUUCCAUGUCUGGAUAUCACUAAUGCUAGGCCCACAAUCUGUCAUGUAAUAAAAGCGCUUUUAUUAUGCAACGAUUAUGCAUUCGCCUAACUUCACAUCACCCUCAAUAGAUAGUCAGAGUGAAGAUCGAUUAUCUUGGUGUGUGUGAGGGGAGCGUGGCGGAGAUGAGCCUGACUGGAGGCGGCCCUGGAAUGCACCGCGGCUCCACAUCCCUUAUAAUCCUUUUGUGAUCGCAGAGCAACCCUGGUGUGCUCCCAGUCUGAUCGCCCUCUUGCAGGAUUCACCGGCUAAUCCGUGCAAAAAGGACUGCUAUGCACAUACAUUUAACACACACACACACACACACACACACACACACACACACACGCACGUGCACGCAUUUAGUAAAGAGAUUCAGAGAUACACACAUUUCUGCACUCACUGCUGGCGUAUUUGUGAUAGGCUGCAUAUGUACUGCACAACAAAAUGAGGACGCGACUAAAAAUACAUUACCAAACACAAACACAUUCAGGCACAAAUACACACGCGUUUAGUUCUAGAAAACCCGCCCUUUACAAAGCAGUGUUUUCUCGCCGCCAGUGAGAAUCAUUAAUGCCCCCUCUCUAAUGCAGCCGCACAACCAGCAGCAAUUAUUUCUGAAAGCAUAAAGUGAAAACAGACAGCGAACGCACAAAUAUACACGGCACAUAAUGAUUGUUUUUUUGUUGGGCCGGCUGUGUGGGGGUUGAGGAGAUGGCGGCAGCAGCUCGGACUUCAUUUUCUUCAGCAGAGUUUACUGACCGCAAAAUGACAAGGAUGCUUUUCCUAAACCAAUUAAGAGAUUGCUGUGCUGCUGUUACCAUGUGACAUUGACAGCACUUAAGGAGGCUGACGCCAGGCUGCAGAGAUGAGCCACAGAUGUGCUUUUGGCUCAGGAGUUAGUACACACACACACACACACAAACAUACAUACACAGACAUACACAUGUAUGCAAUCAUGCAUGUACAGUCACACACAUCAAUUAGAAUAAUGGCACAGUAGAGCAAGGAGCCAGAAACAAUGUGUACACCUGGAGCGCCACACCAAAACAAAUAUACAAUUAAGAAAAAUACCUAUACAAUGUUAAAUUAUUGAGGUCUGGGUGUUGCUAAUAAGCUAAAAAGCAUUAAAUCCUAAUGAAAAUCCAGGCCUUUAAUGAAGAAAUAUACUUUUUUUUUUAUAUCUAAUCAGCUUUAGGAAUACAGAGAGAGUGCAAAUCAACAUCUCCCCUUUUCCUCACAUUAGAAUCUGAACUUGUGUAGAAUUAUUGUGGAGGUUGUGAUUCUUUCUGAGAAAAAGGC
ensembl:lncRNA